rnacentral:lncRNA from 1 species
ACAACCAGAUGAAAAGGGCCAGGCCGGUAACACAAACUACACCACAAAACCUAGGGCAAGCAACAUAGUGAAGCCUCGUCCUUGGACCUUCUCCAAAAAUGCAUCUGGGUUGAGGGGAAAAGCAACAACAACAACGACAGCAACAAGUACAGAAAUUCCUACUAUUCGGACAACAACGAAUGCUCAGGGUCUCAAGGAUUCACCUCCGACAAUAGAGAAGGAUGAUGACAACAACAUGCAGUGGUGGGACAACUUGUUUCUUGACGAAGAGGGAGGUGAAGGAACCCCGUUGGGAUAUGAUGCCUCGGGGGAGGGCAACGUAACUAGUUUGUGGUUCGAAGAAUUGUCCCAGAUGGUAUUUAAGGAGGGUGAUGUUUGGACGCAGGAAAAUCAAAAUGGCUCGGGUUACAGCUCUACUGAUGCAGGCCUUUGGGAUUUUCAAAUUUCUGAUCACCAAACCAUGCAAUAGAUUAUUGCAGUACUGAUCUUUUGCUGUCGAAUAUGU